GAGGGGGCCCCUUUWUWCUUGAUUMGUGGGUGGUGGUGCAUGGCCGUUCUUAGUUGGUGGAGUGAUUUGUCUGKUUAAUUCCGUUAACGAACGAGACCUUAACCUGCUAAAUAGUCACGCGAACCGGUCCGCAAGGGCUCAAAGUUCGCGGCUCGACUUCUUAGAGGGACUAUUCGCACCCGCCAGCGAAUGGAAGUUUGAGGCAAUAACAGGUCUGUGAUGCCCUUAGAUGUUCUCGGCCGCACGCGCGUUACACUGACGGAGUCAACGAGCGUUUUUCCUUGCCCGAUAGGGYUGGGUAACCUCCUGAAACUCCGUCGUGAUGGGGAWAGAUCAUUGCAAUUAUUGAUCUUGAACGAGGAAUUCCUAGUAGGCGCGAGUCAUCAACUCGCGCCGAUUACGUCCCUGCCCUUUGUACACACCGCCCGUCGCUCCUACCGAUUGAACGGUCCGGCGAGAACUCCKGAUGGUCAA
rnacentral:rRNA from 1 species